rnacentral:misc_RNA from 1 species
UGUGUUGCUUACCCACGGAAAGGAAUUCGACCGUACGGUUUCCCCACUCCGCCCGACGCCCUCCGUGGGCGUGGGGCGGACGCCAGGCACGCUACGCGUUCCUCGCCGGCCUUUGCGUUGCCCGCAAAGCGCCGUCGAGGCCCGCGGAGCCGUCGCCCGUUCUCUCGGAUGCGGAAUGUCGAGCGCGGGCGCGGGGGUCUCGUCCUCCGUCGUUCGCCCGAGCGACGCUCUUGUCCCUUGACCCUAAACGAACGAACGAUCGCCCCGGCCGUCUCGAACGCGCCGUAGCCCCCGUGCUUCGACGCGGCCCGUGCGGCCGUCGGGCGUCGUCGAGGAACGCUACCUGGUUGAUCCUGCCAGUAGUCAU